rnacentral:rRNA from 1 species
CCUUACAACUUUUGGCAAUGGAUGUCUUGGGUCCCACAACGAUGAAGAACGCAGCGAAAUGCGAUACGUAAUGCGAAUUGCAGGACCUCGUGAAUCAUCAAACUUUGGAACGCACAUUGCGCUUCUGGGUUAUUCCCAGGAGCAUACUUAUCUGAGUGUCCCGAA